rnacentral:rRNA from 1 species
AGCGUGCGCAGGCGGUUUUUGUAAGACUGUCGUGAAAUCCCCGGGCUCAACCUGGGAAUGGCGAUGGUGACUGCAAGGCUAGAGUUUGGCAGGAGGGGGGUAGAAUUCCACGUGUAGCAGUGAAAUGCGUAGAUAUGUGGAGGAACACCGAUGGCGAAGGCAGCCCCCUGGGUCAAAACUGACGCUCAUGCACGAAAGCGUGGGGAGCAAACAGGAUUAGAUACCCGGGU